rnacentral:rRNA from 1 species
GUGAGUAACGCGUGGGUAACCUGCCUCAUACAGGGGCCUAACAGUUAGAAAUGACUGCUAAAACCGCAUAAGCGCACAUUGUCGAGUGACAGAGUGUGAAAAACUCCGGUGGUAUGAGAUGGACCCGCGUCUGAUUAGCUAGUUGGUGAGGUAACGGCCCACCAAGGCGACGAUCAGUAGCCGGCCUGAGAGGGCGACCGGCCACAUUGGGACUGAGACACGGCCCAAACUCCUACGGGAGGCAGCAGUGGGGAAUAUUGCACAAUGGGGGAAACCCUGAUGCAGCGACGCCGCGUGAGUGAAGAAGUAUUUCGGUAUGUAAAGCUCUAUCAGCAGGGAAGAAGAAAGACGGUACCUGACUAAGAAGCCCCGGCUAACUACGUGCCAGCAGCCGCGGUAAUACGUAGGGGGCAAGCGUUAUCCGGAUUUACUGGGUGUAAAGGGAGCGUAGACGGCUGUGCAAGUCUGAAGUGAAAGCCCAGGGCUCAACCCUGGGACUGCUUUGGAAACUGUGGAGCUAGAGUGCUGGAGAGGUAAGUGGAAUUCCUAGU